UUUCGGAGCUUCUGAGGGCGGCCUCGGAGCAUUGCAUUCAAAACGGCGAUUGAAGGAAACACCGGAGUGCCUUUUCGUUGUAGUGUGUGUUUACGAUGGCCUCGAUCUCAUAGUUGUGUGCUUUGCUGAGGUUCAAUUUCCUCUUUCAGCGGAGUCAUUCUAUCGUUCUUGUGGUGGCCGUAACGUUAGGCGCUGUUGAUAGUUUAUGAAGGCGGUAGGAUUCGAGUUUCUGUUGUGUUUUCGAGGGUUUAUGUAGAGUGCAGGGUUUUUGCAUCUAGGUUGCGUCUUGAUUUGGUGGCUAUUCUCGAGCUAUUUGCACACCUUUCUUCUUCUUAUACUUCGUCUUUCUCUAUUUAAUUUCACUUGAAUCAGUCUUUUAAUUAGAACUGUAAAAUCCAAAUUCGGGUUGGUUUUGAAUGUAAUCAGUUUUACGACGGCAAUAGUACAAUGCUGUCUUUGCAGCUGAUCAUAGUGGUUUAUUGCGGGGAAUGGAGAUCGUAGGCGUAGUUUCGGAUCUGCUGCUUUCAUUACAAGAUGACGGUCUCAGCAAGUUGAGUCAGUCUCUCUGGGAAGUGGAAGGAGGUAGUGAGAGACGUUUGCGUUUGGCUCCUCUCAAGAAGCUGACUCGUUCGUGCUUUGUUCAUACAUGUCGAUUUUGUGUAUAUAAUUUGAGUAUUUUCCAACGGUCACAUUGUAGCUCUCUCUCCGAAUCGAGUAUUUUGUUUGUCGUCACGGUGUAUUCAUUUGAUCCUUCGCUCAAGCGUAAUCUAUAUAAAUUUAUGGAGCCAUUAACUCCAGACAGCUGUUGCCUUAAAUUCCUGGGAGGGGAAAAGCCAGGACUCGGACAACAAUGAAUUUUUAAGCAAAAGUACGAUUUCGUAAUGGACAGUUGCGGGACGAAGAUUGCAAAAGUUUUGAACAAUGAUUCGUACUAGCAUUUAGACCAACUUCAAUUAUUCUUCAAAAUGCUCGCAAUGAAGUCUUCAGCAUACUCCUUGAGCGGGGGACAGAAAUAUAAACGAUCUCCGCAGAGCAGUCGAUUAUUUACAUCAUCAUCAUCGUGCAGAAAAUACAUUACGACUGGAGCGGAUGUUGUAGAAGCUGUAUGCUUUAAUUUCGGCUAAUCUGGGGGCACUUGCAUUAGGUCCAAUUUUGAGACCCUAAUCUCGGCCACCAGAGGUCAUAAAUCCCGCUUGGGCCCUCAUCGUGGCUCUCUUUGGGCUCUCAUCUCGUGGCUCUCUGUGUCCGCAACAAAUGAAGAGCUCGUUAAGAACAAAGUAAAGCUCAACUUCUGUCACGCGCACUUGGCCUGAUUCUUCGCAGACAUUAGAUAUUUUCGGAGCCUAUCCAUGCAAAGAAGUUAUUCUUUGAAAGUGGGUAAUUAAACCAUAUAGAAUCAUUUUCGUGGGUAAAACGCUCACCAUUAAUAGACUCUCAAAUUGCGUAGGUUGUUUGGACGACUCACAAGAAUACGUGACUGAAGAUUCUAGACUGAAGGCUAAAGAGAAAGCGAUGCGCACCAAAUUUUGGGGUGCAACUUGAAGAUUUCGUACCACCGUUGCAGUCACAAGUUUUGGCAGUGCUAAAAUCUGGAGAUAAUUUGUUGAGUUCAGUUUUUAUUGUCUAAUUAUUCCCAUAACCCAGCGACAAACAUGGUUUAACAAGAACCGUCGAUUCUUUCUACCCUCCAUUGCGUUUCUGCAAAUAAGUCUUGGAUUCAAGACAGUCACUUUCUCUACAUGCACAGUUACGCAUGUUUCGAUAAACGGUAUUCCAUCUGCGUUACUGAGGUUUUCGUCAGCACCAUCUUGAUGUAAGUUACGUGAGACGUAAUCAUAGAAGAUAGCAUCUUAUGUGGAGUGAAUUUCCGUAUUGAUCCUCCUGUUAGACUAGUCCUUUUGAACAUUUCAAUAAACGGUUGGAAAUCAAUUCUGGAAUUGUUGAGAAUUACUUGCGUGCAAAGUCAUUGAUGACAUUAUUCAUGAAAAAUAUAUGCAUUUAGUCAUCACAUCAGACUUGCUGUCAUUUUCAGGCUGCAUGCCAGAAAAAUCAAAAGCAGAUUAGCUCAGACCAGUGGUGGGUGAGUGUUGAAGCUUCUCUUUUCUCCUUAAAUGCUUCCAUGUCCAAAGGUGGUCAGCACUUCUAAAACAAGACUUCGAUUACCUUAAUGGUUUUGUGGGGUAAGCCACUGGAUUCUCGAGGGUCCUCUCUUCUAACGAUACCUGGAUUUAUUUCUGGAAAUAAAAGGACACAUUCUGUGAACGCAAUUCUAAGUAGUUUGCUUAAGGAAGUCAAGUACACCCGAUGUGUAAAGCAGUUCAGAUUCAACUGACUUGAGGAAAGUCCUGAGGUGAGCGCGACGUUAAGCAUUUCUCCAUUUUUCGUCUAAUGCUGAUUUGGCUUUUAGCAUUAGGUACGUGCAAUUCUGCGAUCUGUCCUUGCUUCUUAGCAUUUAUCUUCAACAUGUUUUGUGGGUAAGCUGUUCGAGUAUUCCUUAUCAUACCUGCGUGCAUAAUUAACUGAUUGCACUGCACUACGGGUAAAGUUACUCAAGAAAUCGUGAUCGUCAGCAAGAGGCCGUCUCUUCAUUCCCUCUAGAUAACUGUGUGUCCUACUUCCAGGAACAGGCUCGUGUAUUCUUUUUAUUUUAAGGUACUCAAAUUUCCAAAGUGAUCUUCAUUUAAAGCUCGUGUGUAUCAGUCCGACUUCGUUGUAUGAUGAAGCUUACUGUAGAAGAGUUAUCUGUUAUUUGUAAUGACUUUAAUAGUAAUGAAGAAAUUCUCGCCACCAAUUUUUUAGUAUCUUGUAGCACUAUCAAUACAUGUUGCAGCAGCCAGCAGUAAACGGUUUAAAAUUGCUGUUGAAAGAAUCGCAGUGAGACAGUUGUUGAGUCCAAGAAGGAUGUGAUCUGCAAAGCUGACAUCAGAUUGGUGAGUAACCCUGUUCAUGUACAUGAACCAAGGUUUCCUCAACACCAUCUAAUAGUGUUCGGGACCUCUUGAUCAACCGGUCCUCCUUUCACUGCAAAAUUCCCGAGCCUUGAAUCGUUUAUUACACUUGGACCGUGCUCAGUAAGUACACUGUCUUCACCAUUCUGAAUUCGCAGGCGAUGGUCUCGCAUAUUUACGUAGACGAGUCUGAGUUCCUGAUAUCCGGGAUGGUCAAAGGUUGAGGGAUUGUCUUAUGGGACGGUUAGACAUGGGUAAUCUCUCCCGAAGUCAUGUGUAAAUGCGAUGUUGUUGGCCAUUUUUUAAUGAUUAAGAUCCUCUCCGCUAUUUUAAGAUUUCUGCAGCAAGCAGUAGCCAUCGGUGAUGAAGAAGUCUUUGUUGCUGGAGUUGUAACCGUGCAUGUCAGUGUGGCUGAUGCCGGGUAUGUACAAGCGUUUGUAGCCCAAAGUGGGUCACUGUCUCUGCACAAUGAACAUAAUUAUGGGUGCAAUUGUUUCCGUGAGAGGACUUACUGUGAGAGUAGAGAAACAUAGGUGGGCCUCGAAGGAAAUUGCGACCAGGCUUAAAGUAGAUCAAAUCAAUUCCCUGCUAUUACGAUAUUGCUCGUCGUCAUGUUCUUCACCUCGGCUUUGCAGGAAUGCCCUUUUUUUCUUCUCUUUCAAGGUUUAAAUUUUUGUUUUUUUCAUGAAAUACAUCAACGCGGAGUGAAGCUUUCAGCGCAAUUAAUUUUGUGAUCAUGGAUAUGAUCUGACUCAUGUUAAACAUUUUCGGUUGUUAGCACUGGUAGAACAAUUUCUUGAUUAUUGGCAUUGUUUGGUGACAGUCUCUUACUAUCUGAGUAUUCAUACUGCUUACAAAGAUCAGAGUCUAGUUGGAUCCAUAGACAUAUGCGUCAUCCAUAGUCUUACUGUAUUUCUAACUUAGAUUGUAGUCUCUCACAGGAAUGGCCAUAUUAUGGAGUGGUGGGCCUCCGGAAGCAUAUACGAUUCCAUGUGAUCAACCCACUACACUUCACAAGCUACAUUGUCGGAAGAUGGACAAAAUGGUUGAGAGAUUUUGUGUCUCACGUAUUAAUUGAUUGUGGUCUGGAAGCUGGAAAUUUUAGGCAUUUAAAUGAAGGGUCUGGGAGCUGUAGAUGCAAGUGACGCGCACACCAUAAAUCGGGAGGUUCUAUGACAAUUUAGGAGGGCUUGUGGAGAGCUAUCGUUGUAGAUUCGGGACGGAGAAAUCUACUAGGGAGCUUAUAACUCUUCGUCACCCUGGCCUGAGUUUUUUGUGUACGCUUUUAAUGGUGAAGACGUUCUACCCACCAAAUCAAUGACAGGAUAUGGAUCCUUUCUGAUAAAUUUGAAUUAACUUUUGUAUCCCACA